UACAGAGGUCCCAAGCGUUGUUCGGAAUUACUGGGCGUAAAGGGCUCGUAGGUGGCCAACUAAGUCAGACGUGAAAUCCCUCGGCUUAACCGGGGAACUGCGUCUGAUACUGGAUGGCUUGAGUUUGGGAGAGGAAUGCGGAAUUCCAGGUGUAGCGGUGAAAUGCGUAGAUAUCUGGAGGAACACCGGUGGCGAAGGCGGCAUUCUGGACCAAUACUGACGCUGAGGAGCGAAAGCCAGGGGAGCAAACGGG
rnacentral:rRNA from 1 species